GCCGGCGUAGCUCAAUUCGGAUGAGCGACUGCCUAGUAAGCAGAGGGUUGCGGGUUCGAUUCCUGCCGCCGGCCCCA
rnacentral:tRNA from 1 species